UACGAAGGGGGCUAGCGUUGCUCGGAAUUACUGGGCGUAAAGCGCACGUAGGCGGCUUUCUAAGUCGGGGGUGAAAUCCUGGAGCUCAACUCCAGAACUGCCUUCGAUACUGGAGAGCUCGAGUCCGGGAGAGGUGAGUGGAACUGCGAGUGUAGAGGUGAAAUUCGUAGAUAUCGGGAGGAACACCGGUGGCGAAGGCGGCGACCUGGGUAGAUACUGACGCUGAGGUGCGAAAGCGUGGGGAGCAAACAGGG
rnacentral:rRNA from 1 species